GACGAACGCUGGCGGCGUGCUUAACACAUGCAAGUCGAACGGAAAGGCCCUGCUUUUGUGGGGUGCUCGAGUGGCGAACGGGUGAGUAACACGCGAGUAACCUGCCCUUGACUUUGGGAUAACUUCAGGAAACUGGGGCUAAUACCGGAUAGGAGCUCCUGCUGCAUGGUGGGGGUUGGAAAGAUUCGGCGGUUGGGGAUGGACUCGCGGCUUAUCAGCUUGUUGGUGGGGUAGUGGCUUACCAAGGCUUUGACGGGUAGCCGGCCUGAGAGGGUGGCCGGCCACAUUGGGACUGAGAUACGGCCCAGACUCCUACGGGAGGCAGCAGUGGGGAAUAUUGCACAAUGGGCGGAAGCCUGAUGCAGCAACGCCGCGUGCGGGAUGACGGCCUUCGGGUUGUAAACCGCUUUCGCCUGUGACGAAGCGUGAGUGACGGUAAUGGGUAAAGAAGCACCGGCUAACUACGUG
rnacentral:rRNA from 1 species